rnacentral:misc_RNA from 1 species
CUUUCUAGCAGCAUGAAAAAAGAAACCUGCUCCAAUAGCCUUCUGGAUCUUUGUGAAGUUCCUUCCGGCACUCACAACAUCCAAUUUAUACUUGUCCAUGAUGGAGAGCAACUGUUUUCUGACAUCCUGUGCCCUCCUAAGUGAUCGUGACUGAACAAAAUUUUCAAAACACCAUGGACCUGAAAAGUUUUUCGCUUUCCAAGCCUCGUAAACAGCAAACAAGGUAAGAUGAUCACCCUCAGGCUGAAAAAAUUUGGCCUUUUUCUGAUCGGCCUGAGCUUGUUUUUCCCUUGGUCGGUAAAAGACGUUUCCAGUUUGAAUCAUAGCAAUGAUGGUCAAGAUCUCAUCACUACAACCGAAGUCCACACUAGCAAGAAGCAUCUUGGACAAAGGAGGAUCUAAGGGAAAUUCUGCCAUUUUUCUUCCCAGUUUCGUCAGAAGCCCCUCUUCAUCCAGUGCUCCAAGAGUGUAAAGUUGCUCCAUGGCAGAUAUGAGAGCCUGAGGGGUAGGUGGGUCCAUGAAAUCAAAUGACAAAAGAUCAUUAAUACCCAUUGCUUUCAUCAUAAUAACGGUGUUCCCAAGAUUUAUCCUCUGGAUUUCUGGAACUGCAGUAGGAGACAUUUCACUAUGGAAUGCACUCUCAGUAUACAGACGAUAGCACUUCCCAGGUCCAGUACGUCCAGCACGCCCUGCUCGUUGCUUUGCCGAUGCUUGUGAAAUUGGGGUAAUAACAAGUGAAUCAAGACCCUGUUUUGGAUUGUAGACAUUUUGCUUUGCAAAUCCAGGAUCAAUAACAUAGAAUAUACCGUCAAUUGUCAAAGAUGCUUCAGCAAUAUUUGUAGCAACAACAACUUUUCUCUUCCCAGGAGGGGCAGGAUCAAAAAUUCUGGACUGCAUUUCACUGGGCAAGGCACUAUAGACAGGUAGUAUGAUCAGUUCAGGAACAUUUUUACCUAGUCCUUUCAUCCUCUCAUACAGACACUGGCAAGCAUAAUCAAUCUCCUCUUGACCAGUCAAGAAGAGGAGGAUAUCACCUUCAGGUUCUGUCAAGUG